UGCAUUCACUACUGUAAGUCUCUCUGGAUAAGAGCGUCUGCUAAAUGACUCAAA
rfam:Salmo salar isolate Sally breed double haploid chromosome ssa01, whole genome shotgun sequence.